rnacentral:rRNA from 1 species
ACAGUCACAGUUCGGAUUGAAGGCUGAAAUUCGCCUUCAUGAAGCCGGAAUUGCUAGUAAUGGCAGGUCAGCAUACUGCCGUGAAUACGUUCCCGGGCCUUGUACACACCGCCCGUCACACCAUGAGAGUUGGGGAUACCCGAAGCCUGUGAGCCAACUGUAAAGAGGCAGCAGUCGAAGGUAGAAUCAAUGAUUGGGGUGAAGUCGUAACAAGGUAGC